rnacentral:rRNA from 1 species
UACGUAGGGUGCAAGCGUUGUCCGGAAUUAUUGGGCGUAAAGAGCUCGUAGGCGGCCUGUCGCGUCGGCUGUGAAAACCCGAGGCUCAACCUCGGGCCUGCAGUCGAUACGGGCAGGCUAGAGUUCGGUAGGGGAGACUGGAAUUCCUGGUGUAGCGGUGAAAUGCGCAGAUAUCAGGAGGAACACCGGUGGCGAAGGCGGGUCUCUGGCAAUAACUGACGCUGAGGAGCGAAAGCGUGGGAGCGAACAGG